UGAGCGGCGAACGGGUGAGUAACGCGUGAGCAACCUACCUUAGUUACUGGGAUAGCCCGAGGAAACUCGGAUUAAUACCGGAUAUUCUUAUUUAAUCACAUGAUUUUUUAAGGAAAGGUCAGCCGAACUAAGAUGGGCUCGCGUUCUAUCAGCUAGUUGGUAGGGUAAUGGCCUACCAAGGCUACGACGGAUAGCUGGUCUGAGAGGACGAUCAGCCACACUGGGACUGAGACACGGCCCAGACUCCUACGGGAGGCUGCAGCAGGGAAUAUUGCGCAAUGAGCGAAAGCUUGACGCAGCGACACCGCGUGUGGGAUGACGGAUCUAGGUUUGUAAACCACUUUCAGGAGGGAAGAAAAUGACGGUACCUCCACAAGAAGCCCCGGCCAACUACGUGCCAGCAGCCGCGGUAAUACGUAGGGGGCGAGCGUUGUCCGGAUUUAUUGGGCGUAAAGAGCUCGUAGGCGGUUCAACAAGUCGGUCGUGAAAGUUCAGGGCUCAACCCUGAAAUGUCGAUCGAUACUGUUGUGACUAGGAUACGGUAGAGGUGAGUGGAAUUCCGAGUGUAGCGGUGAAAUGCGUAGAUAUUCGGAGGAACACCAAUUGCGAAGGCAGCUCACUGGGCCGCUAUCGACGCUGAGGAGCGAAAGCUAGGGGAGCAAACAGGAUUAGAUACCCUGGUAGUCCUAGCUGUAAACGAUGGAUACUAGACGUAGGAAUUGGUUUAACGAUUUCUGUGUCGUAGCUAACGCGUUAAGUAUCCCGCCUGGGGAGUACGGUCGCAAGACUAAAACUCAAAGGAAUUGACGGGACCCCGCACAAGCGGCGGAGCAUGCGGCUUAAUUCGAUGAUACCCGUAGAACCUUACCUGGACUUGACAUAUAGGGAAAAGUUAUAGAAAUAUAAUGUGCAUUAGCGCCCUAUACAGGUGGUGCAUGGCUGUCGUCAGCUCGUGUCGUGAGAUGUU
rnacentral:rRNA from 1 species